CCAAGACAGUUAGCAAACUUCAAAGUUUGGAAGCACAACUGAAGCAAAUAAUCAGCACAGAAGUAUAACAAAAUCAAAUAUUCAGAUCCCAACUGAAGGUUCCUUCAGUCAAAAUGCGAGCAAGGUAACCAAACAUUUAUACCAAGGUAACCAAUUCAGUGUUAUUAAGUUACCAAUUUAUUUUGAAUGUGAUGCAGUUGGUAGCCAACCUUCAAGCAGUUGGUUGCCAAACUUUUUAUACCAAGGUAACCAAACUUUGUACCAAGCAGUUGGUAAGCAUCACGUAAACCUUCAUGAAAUUGGUUGCCAAACUUUUAGACCAAGGUAACAAAUUUAUACUGCAGGUGUGGAGGUAGAUUUGGUUACCUAGGUAUAAAUGUUUGGUUACCUUAGUACAAAGGUUUGGUUAUCAAUAUUACAUUACAUGCACAUUACUCUCUCAUCUCUCUCUUUCCUAUGCAGUGUUCUAUUUUUUAUUUACUUUCAUGAAUUUGGUUGCCAAACUUUUAGACCAAGGUAACAAAUUCAUACUGCAGGUGUGGAGGUAAAUUUGGUUACCUUGGUAUAAAGGUUUGGUUACCUUCGUACGAAGGUUUGUUCUAUUUUUUAUCGACUGUUGUUACAAAAUAGUUGUAAUUUCUGGUUAGGAAGAGUAGAAGAAGAAGAAGAAUCCAUGUUUGUGUGUGUGUAUGUAUUUGUCUGGUGAGCGUGAAGAAAAGAAAUAGAUGGAUGCUUUCCUUUGGAAAAUAGCGUAGUAGUAGGAAUAGUCGAAUAUUUAGAUAGAUAGAUGUAGAUGAUUAAUUUUAGAGAGAGAAAAUUGCAGGGAGUGUCUGAAAAAAGUUGGAUAGGAAAAUGGGAUGAUGAAGUGAAUGUAAAAACUGCAAAUGAAGGAAGGGACUCGCACAGAUAUAGAAGUCCAGAAAUUAAGACUCAACUUGUACUCUGUCUCUCGCCCCCAUAUUGCACGACCAUCGAGGCCUCCCUCUCUGUCUCUCUCGCCUUUGUGAAAGGCCUGUAACAAGCAUUCAAAGUUAUAAUAAUUUACGUUUACAGAUAUUUUAUUUAUUUAUUUACUUAUUUGUUAACUAUUAAAAAUAGUGUAUGUGAGGAAGAUAAAUAUUUGAAUUUGAAUUAUUAUUUUGAAUUUGAAUUAUUAUUUUGAAUUUGAAUUUGUUUUUGUUAGAUCCCAAAUAUUUGAAUUUGAAUUAUUAAUUAUGGCAGUUAUUUCUCAUUGAUUUUAAGUUUCCUUAUUAAUGUGAAUUGUACUAUUUUUGUAAGUAAUUAUUUUGUUAAUGCACUAAUAGUGUAAUUACUUUCUAAUUGUUGUAUACUUAUGUAAAGGACCCUAAAUAGAAUAGCCCAUGAAAUACUUUAUCGCCUACUUAAAGCUCCAAAGCCCAAUGGACUUAGCCCAAAUUAUUGAGAGUACCAUAAAACUUAAUCUUAAGAUGAAUAGCUUUCAUUCAUGGGCCAUACGACCCAUAAGUAAACUAUGUUUACAGUUUACUGCGAGGAACACAUACAGACGGAUAGAGAGAAGAAAAGAAAAGAAACAGCAAAUACCUGUUAUCAGGAUGAAUGGAGCAACCUUGAGAGAGGUCAUUGAGACCUUUGAAGAUAUUUUCUCUGCUGUACCUUCUCCGAGUUGAAACGGAAAUGAGUUCCAACUCAUUACUGAGUCGAGUCAAAUGAUGCGAUUUUAUUUCGUCGCUCGGAUCCUCCACCUCAUACUCCCUUAUUUCUCCUCCUUCUCCUUCUCCUUCUCCUUCAUUUCUACUGUGAAUCCUCUCUUCAUUUUCUCUAUCCUCUCUCCUUCCUGUACUUCUUCUAUUCAUCAUCAUCAUCAUUCAAUCAAUAAUAAACAUGAACGAAAUUCUGCACAGAAAUUACAUUUUGAUCGAGUCAUUUCUUCAUUCGAACAAAAAUUAAUGUUUAUCGAUUUUUCAGUAAUAGUGAUUUUGGGGGAAUGUAUAAAUUAAAUAGAAAAGAGGUUAAUCACGUUUGUAUAGGAAUUUUGAGAUAUUAGAGAUUUAGCGACAAUUCCCGCAAACAUUGAUAGGGAGGGAGUUAUAUCCACCAUACAUGAUACAUGUACGUACGGGGAGACAAAAGUACUAUAGAGAGAAGUUAUAAUUAACUGGUACUCCUUUUUCAAAGUAUUUUUAUAGACCGAUAGUGUACAUUAAAAAUGAUUUUAAAUUCAAAUUUAAAUAAAAAUAGAUAUUUAUUUACUAAAAAAAAUUCGGUAAUAAUAACAUUCCAAAACUACUAGUUUUAAGGGGAUAAAUUGCGGAAACUGUGAAAUGGCUGGGUGGGAAAAACUUUGAAAACAAGAAGAGAGUAAUAUAAAAAAAUUAAACACUUGUUUUUACUCGAUUACUCCACAUCUCAUAAUAAUUAGAAUUACA
rnacentral:lncRNA from 1 species